rnacentral:rRNA from 1 species
AUUGAACGCUGGCGGCAUGCCUAACACAUGCAAGUCGAACGGUGCCUUCGGGCACAGUGGCGCACGGGUGAGUAACACGUGGGAACCUGCCUUUCGGUUCGGAAUAACGUUUGGAAACGAACGCUAACACCGGAUACGCCCUUCGGGGGAAAGUUUACGCCGAGAGAGGGGCCCGCGUCGGAUUAGGUAGUUGGUGAGGUAACGGCUCACCAAGCCGACGAUCCGUAGCUGGUCUGAGAGGAUGAUCAGCCACACUGGGACUGAGACACGGCCCAGACUCCAACGGGAGGCAGCAGUGGGGAAUAUUGGACAAUGGGCGCAAGCCUGAUCCAGCAAUGCCGCGUGAGUGAUGAAGGCCUUAGGGUUGUAAAGCUCUUUCGCACGCGACGAUGAUGACGGUAGCGUGAGAAGAAGCCCCGGCUAACUUCGUGCCAGCCGCCGCGUAA